rnacentral:rRNA from 1 species
GACGUAGGAUGCAAGCAUUGUCCGGAUUUAUUGGGCGUAAAGAGUUCGUAGGCGGUUUGUUAAGUCUAAUGUUAAAGAUCAGGGCUCAACCCUGGGACUGCAUUGGAUACUGGCAGACUGGAGUGUGGUAGAGGUAAGUGGAAUUUCUGGUGUAGCGGUGAAAUGCGUAGAUAUCAGAAAGAACACCAGUGGCGUAGGCGACUUACUGGGCCAUAACUGACGCUGAGGAACGAAAGCUAGGGGAGCAAAU